GAAGCGGAAGCAGGAAGGAACUGAGAACACCAGCAUCUGCUGCCGCCCUGAAUCAGCGUUAGCAUGUGGAGGCAACCUCAGCCCCCAGUUUUUGAAGAAGGUGAUUCAGAUUCAGACACAGGAAUUAUGGUGACGGUAGAAAUGGACUGGAAGGUUCGUUCCCCUUGCCCACCAAGACUCCAGAGCAGAGCUUCAGCGGGAAGUUCUCCGUGAUGAGGUGGUCAGGGUGAAGCAGCACCACGAUGUUAACCUCAAAUUCUGAGAAGAGAAGAGAGGGUGGGUUUGUGCUCACUGUUACCAAGCAGCGAAACCACACGCCGCCACCACUGCAGUCGCAGGAAGCUCUAACGGCGAAGGAGCACCCGGUGCGGGUGGGUUUCAUUGCUGUCCCCUCAGCGCCACCCUGACCUUUCAGCCAAACUUUCAGUGGAGAUGACUAUGCUGAUGUCUGACUACCUCUGUCAACUUUCUCUAAGUGAAUUUUUGUCCUCUCAUCUUGGAACAUGAGUGAUCAGGCUUCACCAACUACACUUUCCCUGUCCCUUUGCUUUCCUAAAAAGGAUAUUCUAGAACCCUUUCAAUUCA
ensembl:lncRNA novel transcript, antisense to DSCR3